GAUACACAGAUUGGUAGGCAACUUGAGGUUAAGUGCCUUGCCCAGGGGGACAUGGCAGGAGGAAGCUGGAAUCAAACCCACAACCUUCUGAUUGGAAGACAACUACUCUUUCUACAGUCACCUCUAUCAAUCAAGCCCUUCUUAAAACUGCUGAUCAGCUUUGGUUAUGAUCUCCAAGUCUUUGAGGUUAAAAGGGCUCCUAGCCUUCACCUUAAUUUUUAGCUCCACAGACUCUCUUUUGCAUUUCUGGGCCACUCCAAAUGUUAAUAUUAUUUCCAGUCAGAAGAAACUAAAUUGCUAUUUUAUUGCUAAAAUUAAGAGAUUUCUUUAAACCAAAAUCUGCCAGAGGAAUGAUAAUAAUAAUUAAUAAUAAUGGGAAAAAAAUACAAACAGUUAACAUUGCUUACAUGUUUCUGACACCAAACAGGAGUAGCAAUGCUUUAAAGAUUCACAUAUGUUUCAGUAUCUUUAAAAUAUUUGGGAUGCUGAGGAAAUUAAACUCAUCCCUAAUAGAUGAAAAGCAAACAACUCAACAUUGUAUUCCAGGAAGAAUAUUUAAAUGAUCUAAAAGUAAGUUACUCACAAGAACUAUCUGAUAAUUGUGGGAAGUUAUUGUAAAGAAGGUGCUUGAAAACCAACCAGUUAUUUUUGAAAAUAAAUAAAAUGUAAAAAUUAGUAAACUGAAGUACAUGAGGCCUAUAUUUCAUUAAACUGUGUAUUGGAUUAAAUACUUCUUUUAUAACGAUUUCACCCUGAACACAUCUGUUCUCCUGUCAUCUCUCAUGACUUGACGAUUACAAUCAUUUUACCAUACAUUUACUUUCUCCUUGUUCCUUGUUGUCAUUAUUAAUUUAAAGAAGAAGGCAGAGGUGUGAUUUAAAGGAGAUCUCCAGUGGUCAUGGGAGAAUUGGAGCACACCCUGGACAGGCUGCCAUAGGUCAACACAGAGAGACACAGGACAAACAACCAUUCACACACACAUUGAUGCCAGAGGGCAAUUUAAACAGGCAUAUCAACAUAACAGUUAUUUUUUAGAACUGUGAGAGCCUGAGUUCCUACGAAUGCAAAGGGAAAAUAUGCAAACUCCCAGACCGAGAUUCAAACGUGGAAGCUUCUUGCACAAGGCCACAGCGUUACCAACUGCGCCACAAUGCAGCAGGAAAUCAAAUUUUAAAAUUUCUUUUUUUUUUUUUUUUACUUUUAUGAAUCAUAAAUCUUCCUACACUUACAAAAUGCACAGAGCUGUAAAUUAGUCAAAUUCACUUCUCUUCUGUAAAUUGUACUAUCACCCCUCUCAACAGAUUUCUUCUGUAUUUGCUUUUUUGUCACAGCAAAAUGUUUCAGGCAGUGAAAUAAAAUUUUAUAACAAACAAAGAUGAAUACAAAAGGAAAUUUUCAUUUCACUGCAUCUCAAUCAGAUUACAUUUCCAGACUUAGACUAGGCCACUCCAAAAUGUUUAUUAUGGCCUUUUUGUAGCAUUCAGAGGUGAUCCUGCCUGUAUGCUUUGAAUCAUCGUCCUGGGGCAUUACUCAAAUGGGCUUAAGGCUUAAGGACACAAACUGAUGACUGGACAUUGCCCUUCAAGAUUUUCUGCUGGAGAACAGAACUCAUGGUUCUAUCAAUUAUGUAACUUAUCCAGGUCCUGAAGGCACAAAGCAGCCCCCAACCAUCACCCUACCACUGCCAUGUUUAAAUGUAAGCAAGCAAGAAUCAGUUAAAUUUAUGCCAAAUAUUACCGGUGCACAUGCCUUCCACUUUUUCUGAUUAGUCCACAGAAUAUUAAUGUCUUGUGGAUCAUCAAGAUGUUUUUAGCACAUUUCGGGCCAGGCUUUAUGUUUUUUUUGGUCAGCAGUGCCUUUUACUUUAAAACUUCCCUUUGGGGGCCAUUUUUGCAAAAUUUCUUUCUUAGUGUUAAAUCACGAACACCGCCCUUAACUGAGUUGAGGCUUGCAGUGCUUUUGAUGUUGUUUUAGGUUCUUUUGUGACCUGGAUGAGUUGCAAAAGUACUCCUGGAGCAAUUUUGAUGGGCAGGCCACCCUGGAGAAGGUUUGGUGCUGUUCCAUGUAAUUUCCACAUGUGGAUAAUGUCUCCCUCUGUGGUUCACUGGAGUCCCAAAGCCUUAGAAAUUACUUUGUCACCCUUUCUGUCACAGUCUGUUGUUCAACCUGCCUGUUACUAACGUUCUCUCACCCUAAGAGGCGCUGGAGCUGCAGACCGGAGUGUUGACAGGUGUACGUCGUUGCUUCAUCAGCUGGAGGACUAUAUGAGGGUGGUUCGCUGGCUUUUCUACGCCUGAGUGUUUGCCUACCGUGGCUGUUCACGCCAAGCUGGGGUUUCCUCCUGAACCCACCUCCUGUCAAGACUGGAAUCUGCUGCUGCCCUUGCGAGUCCUUCAGCUGGAGGCGCAACCUGUCCACCACUUUGUUACCUGGAACAUCAGAUCGCUCCAAUCGUUUCUGUGCAGGCACUACCACAGCUUGAACUGGUUUCUCCCCCUGGCGGAUUGAUCGCCUUCCGGAAAUCUGUCUCCUGAUCGCUCUGCCCACCUCGUUCCUGAGUCAAAAAGAAAUAAAAGAAAAACUUAAUUUAUUCUUCUCUGUCUGAGUGUCCUCUGCAUGUGGGUCAAGUCGGCCUUAAAAACUAUGACACUUUCCAGACUGAUUGACGUCAAUAACUUUGUUCCUCUUCUUUUCUUGACUUUUUUUAGAUCAGGGUGCGAUCUGAUGCUUUCUGAAAUCAUUCAGUUAUCAGGGAUGGGUUGAUUAUUCUUUCACAAAGGGCCAGUUUAGUUUGGAUAGGAUUUGUAUUGCUUUUUGUAUUUACCUUGGUUAUCUUCAAUGUCAGUCAGUCAUUUUCUACCGCUUAUUCCAUAGUGGG